UGGGGAAUAUUGCGCAAUGGGGGAAACCCUGACGCAGCGACGCCGCGUGUGGGAUGAAGGUCUUCGGAUUGUAAACCACUGUCGCGAGGGACGAAGCUCUGACGGUACCUCGAAAGGAAGCACCGGCUAACUCUGUGCCAGCAGCCGCGGUAAUACAGAGGGUGCGAGCGUUGUCCGGAAUCACUGGGCGUAAAGGGCGCGUAGGCGGCCCGGUAAGUAGGGGGUGAAAUCUCAUGGCUCAACUGUGAGGCUGCCUUCUAGACUGCCAGGCUUGAGCACAGUAGAGGCGAGUGGAAUUCCCGGUGUAGCGGUGGAAUGCGUAGAGAUCGGGAAGAACAUCGGUGGCGAAGGCGGCCACCUGGUUGGAUACUGACGCUGAGACGCGAAAGCGUGGGGAGCAAACAGGAUUAGAUACCCCAGUAGUCCCUGAGCGGGCUGGCAAGGCGCAU
rnacentral:rRNA from 1 species